AUUUGUUACUUUUAAAGACUUAUUUUUGACUGGACUCAGAUUUAGGAGUAGAAGCUCUCAGAGAGGACAGCCUAUGGCUUUUGGCAAUCUGUUCCUGGCGCUUUUCUUUGGCUUCCUUCUUUCUCUGGGAGGAAAGUUUAGCAUAUUCUGCAGCCUCCUCCUUGUUUUUCUUAGUGAGUUGUUCCUGGGAGCCUUUGUGUUGAAGGACAUGUGGAAUAACAUGACUCUGAUUCUUGGUUACUUUGGUCCUGGGCUUCUUAACGUCUUUGUUUAAGGGUUUUCUGACAACAUAUUGGCGAACAUCAUCUUCUUUGGAGAGAUUAAAAAAACUUUCCGAUUCUACUAGCUCUCUUAAGUCCCAACUGACAAGGCACAGUAGUAUCUGUCAGUCCUGGAAUUUCUUUCGCUCCUUUUUUUACAAUAACCAAGUUGAGAGCACUCAGAUUGGCAUCCACAAUGCAUCCACGAACAGACUUGUGCUUCCUCUCUCCAGUUCCCCUUGGCCUAUGACAAGAAUGCCCCUUACUCAACAUCAGGCAUACUCUGCCAUGGGUCAAAACGCCUUGCUUCAUGGGAAAACCUUGUUUGUCAUUCCCACCGCUGAUCCAGACCACAUAACCUGUCCACUCUUCACCAAGCGCAUCAGCAGCCACUUCUGUGGCUAUGUGCUUUUCAUAGAACAAACAAAGAUCGUGUUUGUCAUCCGCUUCAAUAGGAGUUUCUGACAGCCAGUGUCAGGGAAGGAAAUAUUCAGCUUAAUCUUGACCCAGGCAACCGCCUA
rnacentral:lncRNA from 1 species